AUACCUACUCCCCCACCUACAGCCUUGCCCUGCACGCGUCCCACAAUGAUCUUUCCGCAGGUGCGGCAGGCGUUGAUCACUUUGGCAAAGCCGGAGAAGAAUUCAAGCCCCUGCUCCUUUGUCUCAAUUGAAAUGAGCUCAUCAAACGAGGCGCCUGCGCAGAAAGUUCGCU
rnacentral:misc_RNA from 1 species